rnacentral:rRNA from 1 species
GACGAAGGAUGCAAGCGUUAUCCGGAUUCAUUGGGUUUAAAGGGAGCGUAGGUGGCCUGCUAAGUCAGUGGUGAAAUCUCUGGGCUUAACCCAGAAAUUGCCGUUGAUACUGGUGGGCUUGAGUGCAGAUGCCGUUGGCGGAAUAUGACAUGUAGUGGUGAAAUACAUAGAGAUGUCAUAGAACACCGAUUGCGAAGGCAGCUGACGAAACUGUAACUGACACUGAGGCUCGAAAGUGUGGGGAUCAAACAGG